ensembl:lncRNA
CUUUCAGCUACUGAAUGGGCUGCAAGACUGUUGUCCUGUUAAGACCUCCCUUAGGUUUCUCAAUCUGUUGUUGCACAAUUAUGCCAGAGAUUAUAAAUAUUAUUUGAAAGUUGUUUUUAUACUAAGGCUGUUUCCUGCUGUCAUUUGUUAUAUAGUUCCUUGGACAGCUAAGACUGCCUGGACAUUUGUUCCUUUCCAUGUGAACCAUUUGGAUGAUCACCUUCUUCCUACCAGAAAGAAAAGAAACACUCUCAUCUCUUCCACCUCAAGAUCGCUGCAUCUACUAACUGUGGGCUGACAGAAAGCUAAGACAUUCACAGGAUGCAUCUGAUGUCUUGCUCUAUUGUCACCAAGGAAGGUACUGGGAAGAGAAAUUCUCAGUUCAGCAGAAAAGCGGCAGACGACAAAGGCAAAUGGCCCAGGCUUGCUGAUCUUGAAUGGUGCUGUGCUUCUGUAGCUCCCAGGCAAGCCAAUGGGAGAUGGGGCCUUUCACAACCACUCCACAUUUGGUUCUCCUUAACCAGAACUUGGGGAAAAAAGAUGAGUAUUUUAUAUUGAGUAUUGCUGCCUUGUUAGAUUAUUUACUUAUUGCUGCUAGCUGUUUUUCAGAAAUGCUGUGUGAAAUCAGGCACAUGGUAGGCUAAUCAAAAUUGCCAGAGUUGGCCCCUAGGCAGCUGUUGUUAUUAUUGAAAGGUAGUAAGAUUCAUUAUAAUUUCACUUUUUCAAGACAGAGUGCUAAAGCAUUUUUAUAUGAAUAUAACCAUGUAGGUACAAGGCACAGAUGCGUGUACAAUGUUAGCACUUCCUAAAGUUAUUAACUACCUAGUUAGAAUGAACAGCCUGUGGUGUACUACCACAGCUAUUAUAGACUCAAUAGUAUAAUACACAAUUUAAGUAGCUACAAAAGUCAAACCUGUCUAGUGAAAAUCAGUCUGUGAGGUCCUUUAAGAUCUUCAGAGUAAUGAGAUCUGUCAUAUAAUGUUUUCCUUUACUGUCUUGUUCAAGCAAAAGGAAGACAGGGCAGGAAUAACUUGUAAACAACAGCUGUAACAUGACUGCCCAGUUAUGCCAUGCUUCUGCAGCCUGGCAGACUUGCUUUUGAUACUCAGGACACGGAUAGAUCCACAUUUUUCUAACACACACUCCUCUAUUAGAAACUGAUUAUUUAGCAAGAUCAAAACCUUCCACUGAAACUUCCAAAUUUAGCUGCCCAAUUUGGCAGCAAGAACUGCCAAAGAAUGGCAAAAGAAAGGCAAAAUGUUCUCGAACCUUGCAAAGAUAAUGUCACAGAGUGGAACUUCUUAAAAACAUUGUGAAGAGAGUAAGUAAAGUGUUCUUAUUACCUUACCUGUAUUUUCUUCCUGAUACGUUUUUCUUGUCUUACUCAGAUUACAUACAAUGUGAUAUUAUUAAGUAUCUAUUUUGAGUGAAUUGCAAAAGUUCAAAGGACAUUGAAGCUUGAGGAAAAAAAGUAUUUUAAAGGGUGUUUGACAAAGACAAACAACUUCAGGCCGAAGUCUGAAGCAUUAAAAUUUUUAUCCUUUUUUUCCUCUAUUCUUAUUGAAUUUUAUCUCUGAAGAACAGUUUCUAUUUAUAAGGACAUGCUUGUAGGCAGAGUUCAUUAUGGAAGAGGAAUCUGGAUUUGAAUCCUUUGAAUGGCUGAAUUCCAUGAACUGAGGUCAGAACUCUGAUGUUCUAAAGAUGAGAGAAAUUACUUGAAAGAGAAGGUGAAACCCUGGUGGAGUUAUCUCAAUGAGACAGAAUUUCAUCAAAAGUAACUCUUCAGAAAUAAGGCACAGAUCACCUUCCUUUGCUUUCAAAAUCUGAGCACAGCCAGGAUAUGCAAUGAGGUCCGAGCCUCCAGAAGGAAGCCAAAAAUAAGGGCUGGGACAUACAUCCCCAUGGUGGUUCCAUGAGCCAGGAAGAGGCCAUAAUACAAUCCAUAUUCCAUGCUCCUACACUCACUAUUUCUACCCAGUUGGGGGACAUAAUUCUUUCCAGCCUCUGAGAAGGACAGUGAAAAUGUCUUUUCUCUACAAUGUUCACUCAUGCAGGGUUUGACAUGAGUAUAGCUCAUUGUACGUUAUUACCAUUCAGCUACUUUAUUUAUAACAGCAGUGAUAACCAAAGAUUAUGUAAUUGAAGGUGCUUAUAACUCUGCUUAGUGCUUCUAAACAACACUUUCCAUUUCCACUGAUGCAUUCUGUCUUCUGAUUUAAAUCUUUUACCGCUUUUCAGUACAAUUAUUUCCCUUCUUGUUAGCUUGCCACCUGUGAGCUGGGAAUACAGGGCACUCACAGCAGCAAGAAGCUGUCAGCUCCCUCAGAGAGCCACUCAGAGGCCCUGGCAGAGUG